UACGUAGGGGGCAAGCGUUAUCCGGAUUUACUGGGUGUAAAGGGAGCGUAGACGGCAAUGCAAGUCUGAAGUGAAAUGCAUGGGCUUAACUCAUGAACUGCUUUGGAAACUGUAUAGCUAGAGUGCAGGAGGGGCAAGCGGAAUUCCUGGUGUAGCGGUGAAAUGCUUAGAUAUCAGGAGGAACACCGGCGGCGAAGGCGGCUUACUGGACUGUAACUGACGUUGAGGCUCGAAAGCGUGGGGAGCAAAC
rnacentral:rRNA from 1 species